CCUACGGGUGGCUGCAGUAAGGAAUAUUGGUCAAUGGAGGCAACUCUGAACCAGCCAUGCCGCGUGCAGGAUGACGGCCCUAUGGGUUGUAAACUGCUUUUGAACAAGAGAAAACCCUCUUACGAGUAAGAGGCUGAUAGUAUUGUUAGAAUAAGCAUCGGCUAACUUCGUGCCAGCAGCCGCGGUAAGACGAAGGAUGCAAGCGUUAUCCGGAUUCAUUGGGUUUAAAGGGUGCGUAGGCGGAUUGGUAAGUCAGUGGUGAAAGCCGGCAGCUU
rnacentral:rRNA from 1 species